rnacentral:misc_RNA from 1 species
UAGUGAUUGACUUUCCAUAACAGAUUUCUGUUACAAGGUGAUUGGUUAUCCUUUGGAUUGGCACCAACCUGGAAAGCGAAAUAACAGACAAGGAAAGCAAGGAAAUCGUGGAUAUACCCAGCAACAGUGGGACAGCAGUACAAUGAACAAGACAACCUCCUCAGGAGCAGCUUUUACCACUGUCGUAGAUGAAAGUGAGUCUCCAAUUCCAGGGCUUACUUCUGCACAACAUCAACAAUUAUUGGCUCUAUUAAGUGGGCAAGAUGCAGCACUCAACAAACCAUCAGUAAACAUGGCCAUUUCAUCAAGCUUUUCUGGUAAGACAAAAGAUGCAUGGAUAAUUGAUACCGGAGCCACACAUCAUAUAACAAACAAAAUUGAAUCUUUGUCAAAUAUGAUUCCUAGCUCAAAUAGACCACCAAUUCAAAUUCCUAAUGGAGAAAUGGUAAAAGUAGAAGCCUUGGGACGAGUUGCUAUUGAUAAAGAAUUGGCUCUUAAACGAGUACUCGGAGUGCCUAAUUUUUGCUUCAAUUUAUUAUAUGUCAGCAAAUUGACAAAAGAUUUAAAUUGUUCAUUAACUUUCUGGUCAAAUUCUUUUGUCAUACAUUACUUACACUCAAGGAGGCUGAUUGGAGUGGGUAGAAAGAAAAACAGUCUUUAUUACUUGGAGCCAUUGAGAGGAGGGAAGGCAUUAGUGGCAAGGCACACUACCACUGCAAGUUUAUGGCAUUGUCGCUUGCGACAUCUACCAAUGAAUAAAUUAUCUCUGGUUCCAGAUUUACAUGUUUCUUUUGAUAAUGGGGACAAUUCAGUUUAUGAAGCUUGCUACAAAGAAAAACACACGAGAUUAUCUUUUCCUAUUACUAUGAAUAAAACAAUGCAUGCUUUUGAUUUACUUCACUGUGAUAUUUGGGGACCACAUAGAAUCAAGUCACAUUUUGAUUCACAUUAUUUUCUGACGUUAGUGGAUGAUUUCAAUCGAGUAACAUAGGUGUUUCUCAUGAAGCACAAAUCAAAAACCAAGAGAUAUGUGUUACAAUUUUUCAAUUGGGUUGCAACCCAGUUCAAUGCAAAAAUUAAAAUUUUGUGAACAGAUAGAUAAUGGUCUGGAGUUUACUCAUGGAGAGUUGCUAAAAUUUUAUUUUGACAGUGGAAUGGAGCAUCAGACUAGUUGCACAUAUAUGCCACAGCAAAAUGGCGUAGAUGAACGCAACAUAGACAUCUCUUGAAGGUAGCACGUGUUAAAAUAUGUACCAUAAAUAGUUAGGAUAUGUGUAUCUGUAGUGAU